rnacentral:rRNA from 1 species
UACAGAGGGUGCAAGCGUUAAUCGGAAUUACUGGGCGUAAAGCGUGCGUAGUCGGUUAUUUAAGUCGGGUGUGAAAGCCCCGGGCUCAACCUGGGAAUUGCAUUCGAUACUGGAUAGCUAGAGUUCGGCAGAGGGAAGCGGAAUUUCCGGUGUAGCGGUGAAAUGCGUAGAUAUCGGAAGGAACAUCAGUGGCGAAAGCGGCUUCCUGGACCAGAACUGACGAUCAGGCACGAAAAGCGUGGGGAGCAAACAGGG